CCCCUAUGCACUAUGUUGAAUUUGACCCGUUUUCGUGGCCAAAACUCAUUUUUCGCAAGUAUUCAAAUUUCCGUUUUUUUAAUGUUACCAUGUUGAGAAAUGAUCAAAUCGCGAUAUUGUAUACCUAAAAUGUUAACUUAACAGUUUAAUACAAUACGUGCAGUGUUAAAUGUUAAAUUUGCGAUGCAAUUUCAAAUUGGCA